UUCCGCCUCUCAUUGUCGUCUCAACAGUGUGCAGUCCGAUUCGCCAUGUUAGAAUUUUUGUUGCUAAUAAUUUUCGGAAGUGUUUCUUAUGAGUGCAAUCAUCAACUAUCUGCGCAUAUUGUGAAGUGGACGAAAAGAUCCCGAUAAGAUUUUGGCCGUCUUUUCGAAAAAAUUUUACGACAAUAAUAAUUUGAAGAGGAAUGUGCAAUGAGUCAUAUGGUGAAUUUGACUAUUUACUAAUAAGUCAAUCAUUAACUCAAAUCAAUCUUUGUUGUUUCAAAUGUCAUGAUAAGAUUCACAUGAAAUCGCUUCUAUCUGAUAAAAAGACCAAGAAGAUGAAAUUCGAGAAAGAUGGAAUAGUUGAAUCAGAAAAAACCUUCAGAUCCUAUUUUGAAAGACAAUAGUACUGACUUGACACAAAGACUGGUCGUGUCUCCCAGGUGGAUACUGUAGAUGAGAUAAAGGUCGACCUUUUACGUUGGCAAGGAGAAGUACAAUUAUACUUCGAGGAUCCUGUCCUGUGGGUUAGACCACCUUAAGACAAUCCACCAUACAGAAAAGGACCAUGAUCGGAUUGAUUAGGCCCAAAAUCUAUGAGUCCAGAGGAGGAGUACACCUACAUCCAGCAAAAAUUCACUUUUCAAAGUCCAGCAAAAAAAGAGGUAAACAUAAGGCUCUUUCAAUCAAUUCUUUCCAAUAUAAUAAGGAUCAUUGUUAUUGGUUUAAAUAUCUAUGCAUUUAUUUAUUACAAUUCAAAUAAUAGUGACUCACCUAACAUAUGUACAUUUUUGUAACAAAAUGGUUUAUAAAUUAUUAUUAUUCAUUUA